CUAUGGGCGGCGUCAGCACGAAAAAAAGAUGUUGGGUUAAGUCACGCAACGAGCGCAACCCCUGGCGCUAGUUGCCAGCACGUCGGGGGGGAACUCUAGAGAGACCGCCGGUGACAAACCGGAGGAAGGUGGGGAUGACGUCAAGGCAUCAUGGCCCUUAUGGCCAGGGCUACACCCCGGCUACAAUGGGGGGCACAAAGGGCAGGCAACCCGCGGGGAAGAGCCAAUCCCCCAAAGCCGCUCACUAGGCCGGAUCUGGGGUCUUCCAACUCGAGGGAAAAUGAAGCUCUCUAUAUUUUUUGGGAUAGGGGUGAGCAGCAGGGGCCAACGGCUUAAUGGCCGGGAU
rnacentral:rRNA from 1 species